AUUGAACGCUGGCGGCAGGCCUAACACAUGCAAGUCGAGCGGAUGAAGGGAGCUUGCUCCUGGAUUCAGCGGCGGACGGGUGAGUAAUGCCUAGGAAUCUGCCUGGUAGUGGGGGAUAACGUCCGGAAACGGGCGCUAAUACCGCAUACGUCCUGAGGUAGAAAGUGGGGGAUCUUCGGACCUCACGCUAUCAGAUGAGCCUAGGUCGGAUUAGCUAGUUGGUGGGGUAAAGGCCUACCAAGGCGACGAUCCGUAACUGGUCUGAGAGGAUGAUCAGUCACACUGGAACUGAGACACGGUCCAGACUCCUACGGGAGGCAGCAGUGGGGAAUAUUGGACAAUGGGCGAAAGCCUGAUCCAGCAAUGCCGCGUGUGUGAAGAAGGUCUUCGGAUUGUAAAGCACUGUAAGUUGGGAGGAAGGGCAGUAAGUUAAUACCUGGCUGUUUUGACGUUACCAACAGAAUAAGCACCGGCUAACUUCGUG
rnacentral:rRNA from 1 species